GACGUGUCUCGCAAGGCGGUCCCCGCCCUUCUCGCGUCAUAGCCUCCUCCGAUUGGCCCGGUCCAAGGGGACAAAUAGAUUGCCACUCCUGAUGACCAAUUAGGGAAGCCGCAUGGGCGGUGUUUCUUUCCCAUUGGCUGGAACCUUCCUGCGUCGUGGAUGGACUGGAGAGGGCCAACUUGGGUGUUUUGGACUCCAACUCCCACAAUUCCUAGCAGCCUACCAGCUGUUCUUGCAAUACAGUACUCGGUGCAAACUGUAUGGCCGGGUUUUAGCAGCAUUUUCUCCUGACGUUUCACCUUCAGCUGUGGCUGGCAUCUUCAGAGGAUCUCUACACUGGACUACCGCCGAUUUCUGGGCCUGAAUCUAUUGCACAAGAUUUCCCUAGCCUAAAAUGAUGCAUUUUAAUAUAUUGGUUUUAUGGUUCCCGUCCCCUUGAUCUGGUCAUGUAAGUGUGAUUUAUUGUUAUAAUUGUAUUAUUUCACUUUGUUUAAUAAUGUGUAUUAUGUUGUUAUGUAAUGUUUGUGUUGCUUUUAUGACUGUAAACCCAUCUGAGUCCCAUCCGGGAGAUAGGGCGGUAUAUAAAUAAAGUUUUAUUAUUAUUAUUAUUAUUAUUAUUAUUAUUAUUAUUAUUAUUAUUAUAUUUUCU
rnacentral:lncRNA from 11 species